CCGUCCCCUCUGUGCUCUGUGGUAGACCAAAGCCAAGCACUUCAAGCAAGAACAAUAAGUGUGUUUUAACCAGUUUUAACGUUUGUUUGAUCAAGUUUGGCGACAUAAUGGGAAUUGUGAAAGCAGAUUUAUUUCUAGAUGGUGUUUGCCGGCAGACAGAUAGAUAAUCCAGCGCACUAGUCCGUAACGGCCAAACUUGAAAUUUGAAUUCCCCUGAGCGUUGGUCCGAGUUUCGGCUUCCGUUGGCUCUUAACUGGGAUCUUGGAGUGGGUUCACACAGGAAUGACUUCCUGUCUCUGGAUCUAUAGCGACUACCUUACGGAGAUAUCCUCACAAAUGUUACAAACUGUGUGCCGUGGGUUAUCCUCAUAUUGCAGCCGACUCCUUCACCACUGAUAACUAAAAUGGCAUUCAGUUUCAUGGUAUCAGAGCAAGUUUUUGAUAUCGGCAACAAAUACUUGCUAGGAAACAGUCAACUCCAGGUCUCCGAGAUAUUUGCCUUACAGUCAGCAAGCAAGCUGUGGAAUGGGCGGGCGGAAAAGUUCUCCUUCACUGCAUGGCUCUUGUAUCUUGCUCAGUUCCCACAGCAUUUUUAAACGUGCUGAGUCUCUUCCAGGGUGAGGAAUUAGUGGCCAUUUAAAAGACAGUAGGCCUUGUUAGCUUCACUCUGCUUGUUAAUUAUUGUAUCUUGUAACUGAGGUGGUAUCUUACGGCGUUCUCAGUAAAGCAAAUCUCGUGGUGAAUUUGGAAGGCAGACAUUUAAUUUU